GCUCCUGUAGCUUAAUGGUAAAGUGACUGCAUAUUUAUAUAUCAAUAAUCGCAGUUGAAUCGGGGUUCAAAUCCCCGCGGGAGUA